UGUUCCUGGCAGGCAUCUGUGAUGUCUUUUUCUAAGUAACUGGCCUACAGACCCAGAUUGGUGGAGGCCCCAGCUCUUGGGUGUAGGUUUUGUAUGUCUGAGAUGGAAUCCCGUAUGUAGGUGGAAUCUGGUGGUGAAGAGAUGGGGUCGGGGAGGCAGGUAGGACCUAUGAGGUGUGGCUCUAGGUUAGAGCAAGCUUGAAGAUAGAGUCAGAGUGUCCCGCUGAGUCUGCCUUAGUAUACUUCUGUGUUUAUUAGGCAUGGUGGUUUGGGCUCGCUGGAUUCAGGGACCUGUUAUGGGUGGAGGGCUGCUCCGUGAGUGUUUAGACCAGGAGUCCCUGAAUCCAGUGUGAGGCUGCGUCAUCCUUGAGCUGAAGACCCUGGGUUGGUGGAGGUGGCGGUUGGUUGCUGCAGAUUUUGGUUUACGACGGGAGUGUGCUCGGAGUUCAAGCCUGGAUGUUUCCGCAGGAGGCGAGCUUAGGGACAGGGGUCCUGAGGCCCAAGGCCGUUUAAGAACCAGCUGAAGCGGUAGAUCAGAGCCUGAGAGGGGCAGAGUCGCGGCACCACUCGUUGGGGCGCAUGCGCAUGCGUUGGGCAGAAUCUGGGUGGGACUCUCUAGUAGCACGGCUCUCCCGGAAGCGGAAAGAGGGCGCCACCCGGGUGUGGGGGUGUGGCCUCGAUUUGCCAUCGCGCAUGCGCGGCAAUGGAUGGGAGGCUCCUGGCGGACCUAGACAUACCGGAAGCUGGGCAGGUACACCGGAAGUAGGGCAGGUGUACCGCAGUGGGGCAGGUGAACAGGCCUUCCUACCUGGAGCUUCAUCACUCGGGACUUACCCUAAUGGCACCCCUGGUUCGAUCCUUCAGGGCAGGGGUUCCCCGCUGUCAGCCCAGGGCGUCUGAGCUGCUGGCCUCGUGACCCCGCGUGACACGUUUCAGGGCCGUCCCCAGUUUCUUUUCCCAGCCCGGGUCCUCCUAUGGGGAAAUUCCACCUGCGAUGCCCUUCGUGUGUCUGGUCACUGGGAUGAAAUCAGGAGCGCGGAAAGGUGUUUCCAUCGCGGCCUCAUGAACGCAGAUAAUUGUAAACGUCCCUGGGAGCCGCGACUGUAGCAGGAAGAUACGUGGUAUUGGGGAACAUCAUCAAAAAGACACGUGAUUGCUGAUUGACCCGCGACCUGGACAUAGACACUUGGAGGCUCCUCACCCCCCUCCCCUGUCCUCGGAAUGUAGGUUCUGCUUGCCUUUCCUCUUCCCAGAGGCUGCUCCAAGGAUGUAGUCUUGAAAUGGUGAUGUGGUGUUUGAAAACACCUGCAUGGUAUAUGUGACUAAGCACAGUUAAGUCCUCUUUAUAAACUGAAGAUUUGGAGGGUGAGUCUGGGGAUCCACUCAUCUUUCAGUUGCCCGCGACAAGCCUCAUUUGUAAGUUCCCUUUGCUUCAUAAAAUUGCCACCUACUAACCAGGA